rnacentral:sRNA from 1 species
GCCGGGUGUGGUGAAGCUCACCUGUAAUCCCAGCUACUCAGGAGGCUGAGGCAAGAAGAUCAUAAGCCAGAUCAUAAGUCAACCUCUGCAAUUCAGCAAGACCCUGCCUCAA